rnacentral:tRNA from 1 species
GUCCCCGUAGCUCAACGGUAGAGCAAUUCCCUUUUAAGGAAGUGGUUCCGCGUUCGAAUCGCGGCGGGGACA